GACGUAGGGCGCGAGCGUUGUCCGGAUUUAUUGGGCGUAAAGAGCUCGUAGGCGGCUUGUCGCGUCGAAUGUGAAAUCUCAGGGCUCAACUCUGACAUUGCAUUCGAUACGGGCAGGCUAGAGUUCGGUAGGGGAGACUGGAAUUCCUGGUGUAGCGGUGAAAUGCGCAGAUAUCAGGAGGAACACCUAUUGCGAAGGCAGCUCGCUGGGACGUAACUGACGCUGAGACGCGAAAGCGUGGGGAGCAAACAGG
rnacentral:rRNA from 1 species